ACACCCCCUCGGGCAUUAAUGCUUAAAUAUAUAACAAACUUUCAACCAUUAUUAAAAUAUAUAGCCUACAGUCUUGUGCGUUUAAAGCAGUGAGUGUUUAAAUCAAAUUUAUUUAUAAAGCCCUUCUUACAUCAGCUGGUAUCUCAAAGUGCUGUACAGAAACCCAACCUAAAACCCCAAACAGCAAGCAAUGCAGGUGAUUUAAUAAGUAUGAGGUUUGGUGUCAUAAUCAGUGUUUUCUGUUUUAAUAUUUACAAAGUAUGUAUUACGGCAUUAAAGACUGGCACUUUGGCUGGUGGCAUAAUUGCUAGUCUUAGAACUCUAAAUAGUGGUUGUAGGAAGUCACUACAGGACUCUGUAUAAUUCUAAACCCGUGCUAAUGCACACUUCUUUGUGACUGGUCUAACACGAGUGGACCUCCACACGAGUGUACAAACCCUUUCUUGGUCUCCUGAAAAUGGUCAUUAACUAAGGCAUGCAGCGGACACUCACAUUUAGAAAAUGGCGGCUAACCUGAAACAUAUGUUCUUAACACACUUCAGAGUAAAACCAGCCCUGCAAAAUUAUCCUUGAUGAAAGCAAAAGAAUUUUAAGUAUCUUCUAUAAAGCUCUGGCGUCAAUGCAGUAACUCAAUUAUAUACUGUAAAUACAAGACAUACAAAAUAUGCGCCCAGCAAAUGUCAACAUGAAAGAAGGUUCAUACCAAGAAUUGUUGAAUAACAAUGCUAAUUCUAGCAUCCUUAUAAUAUCAAAAUACAGUAUAGAAUAUGCAUAAAAUACCAUAAAGCUUAAAUAUUCUCUCUGCCACCCACCAAAACCAACCUUUGGUGUAUUUUAAGUAAGGGUACUUUUUAUACAUGAUGUAAACCAUGCUAAAAUUGGCCAAUUUUGUUGAUCAAAGGCUAAUUGAAGAAGUAAAACAUUCGGUAAACCCUGCUUUAGGUGAGCUAGUUAUUGUUAGUUUAGUGUUUCUAGACUAGUGAUAUGCUGCCACCCACAGUAUGGAGACGCCGCUCCCCGCCUGAUGACUGAUCUGAUUGAUGCGUCCUCGUACGCAGUCCAAUGUGACAAAAACUGCCGUGCCAUUGUGGACCUGGAAGGAGGCCCGCAGCCCCACACUUGCCCAUCCACUGCCCUCUGGCAUCUGGCCCCCGAAUUGCUGGGCCAGGGGCACUGGCUUGCCCUCCUCCCCAGCCCCCUCGCCUCUAUGUCGGAGCAGGGUGAUUUUAACCGGGUUGCAGGAGUGGAUCAGCUUCAGGUCCAGUGCUAAGCUGGCUGUCCCGCUCUCCGUGAAGACAAACUCGCGUCCUUGUUCAGAGCGACCCUUCCCUGGAAGCCCGACCUGCACCUGCGGCAUGUGGGGGCUCACCUGGCGGAAAUACAGGGGCUUGUUGCGCACCGCUCCGGAGGGCAAGCCUGUGCGUGCCACGGAGGCAGAGAGGGCGGAGGAGAUGGCAGUCGGGACCCACACCAGACUGAGGGCGCUGAUGCCGGAAUCGUCACCGAAGUAGCGAAUGUUGCACUGCCCCGGGGAGAGGAUCUCAAAGCCCAGAGUAUCGCCGGGGUCGACCCUGGUGGCAGCCGAUAGGGUGAUGGACGUGUCGCGGUAGUGGACACCAGUCUUAUAUGUUCGAGCCAGCUCCAUGCUGCUCCCAUUGUGGUUGAUGUAGGCCAGCAGGUGAAAGCCUUCCGUCACGCACGUCUGGCCCAUGGAGUAGAGCGCCUGUUGGAACACAAAGCGCACUGUGCCGCUUUCAGUGAAGCGCACUCCACGCCCAUCGUGAGUCAGCCCCACAACGUACGGGUCAGAGGUGGACGUGGUUUUGAAGGCGGGCCGGUAGUUGGUGUGGUAGUGCGCCGAUGACACUGCCUGCGCCGUCAUGGCAACGGCCCCGGUGUCGUGGGACAGCCAGAAGAGACUGAGAGGUGCCACAGAUGGGUCAUGGAGGUGCAGGCCAUCACUUGUGUGGUUGCAAUGGUGGCUGGCACUCCUGAGGAGCAGGGAGAGCAUACUUCCUGGAGCAACUUCUGCCACCCCACUGACACUGGCACUCUGGAGCGACUUUACUUCCCGCUGCUCCACCCUGACCCCACUAAGGUCCCGCCCCUCGGCCAGGUCACUGGUGUUAAGCUGCAGACACACCUGGACGAAACUGCGACAUCCAUGGCUCAGGGCCAAGUUCUCGUCUGCCCACACAAGGCCGUGCUGUCGUAGCACCAGAUGGCCGUCUUCGGUGGCCAGCAGAUUGCUGUCGCCCCGCCCCUGGAUAUGGAGCUGCAGGUUGGGGAAGGCGUGACCAGGGGCGUGGCUCUUGGCAGGAGGCAGGGUCACAUCCCCAGCCCAGGACAGGGACAGCCUGCUGCUGUCAGUGGAGGAGGGGGUGGAGCAGACGGUGUCACUCGUGAAGGUGCAGGGUGUGGCCACUUGCUCCACCUCACACUCCUGACAGGCCUGACACUCCUCCAUCUCCGAGUUGUAGAAGUAGGCAUGUCCACACAAGCCUGUGCUAGCCUCUCUGUCAGACAAGCCGUGGCACCUGAAUCCACCUG
rnacentral:lncRNA from 1 species